rnacentral:rRNA from 1 species
AGAGUUUGAUCCUGGCUCAGAUUGAACGCUGGCGGCAUGCCUAACACAUGCAAGUCGAACGGGGGUAGCGAUACUCUAGUGGCGGACGGGUGAGGAAUGCGUAGGAAUCUACCCACGAGUGGGGGACAACCUGGGGAAACUCAGGCUAAUACCGCAUGAGCUCGGGAGAGGAAAGCGGGGGAUCUUCGGACCUCGCGCUGGUGGAAGAGCCUACGUCCGAUUAGCUAGUUGGUGGGGUAAGGGCUCACCAAGGCGACGAUCGGUAGCGGGUCUGAGAGGACGGCCCGCCAAACUGGGACUGAGACACGGCCCAGACUCCUACGGGAGGCAGCAGUGGGGAAUAUUGGACAAUGGGCGCAAGCCUGAUCCAGCAAUGCCGCGUGGGUGAAGACGGCCUGCGGGUUGUAAAGCCCUUUAGGCGGGGAGGAACGACGGGACGCGAAGACCGUUUCGAAGUGACGUUACCCGCGGAAUAAGCACCGGCUAACUCCGUGCCAGCAGCCGCGGUAAUACGGAGGGUGCGAGCGUUAAUCGGAAUUACUGGGCGUAAAGCGUGCGUAGGCGGAGAGGUCAGUCAGCCGUGAAAGCCCUGGGCUUAACCUGGGAACGGCGGUUAAGACGGCUUAUCUGGAGUGGGCUAGAGGAUCGUGGAAUUCCGGGUGUAGCGGUGAAAUGCGUAGAGAUCCGGAGGAACACCGAUGGCGAAGGCAGCGGUCUGGGGCCACACUGACGCUGAGGCACGACGGCGUGGGGGAGCAAACAGGAUUAGAUACCCUGGUAGUCCACGCGGUAAACGAUGAGCACUAGACGCCGGGGGGGUGACUUUUCGGUGUCGCAGCUAACGCGCUAAGUGCUCCGCCUGGGGAGUACGGCCGCAAGGUUGAAACUCAAAGGAAUUGACGG